rnacentral:rRNA from 1 species
CUAAGAAUAUUCCGCAAUGGACGGAAGUCUGACGGAGCGACGCCGCGUGGAUGAAGAAGGCUGAAAAGUUGUAAAAUCCUUUUGUUGAUGAAGAAUAAGGGUGAGAGGGAAUGCUCAUCUGAUGACGGUAAUCGACGAAUAAGCCCCGGCUAAUUACGUGCCAGCAGCCGCGGUAACACGUAAGGGGCGAGCGUUGUUCGGAAUUAUUGGGCGUAAAGGGCAUGUAGGCGGCUAUGUAAGCCUGAUGUGAAAUCCUGGGGCUUAACCCUAGAAUAGCAUUGGGUACUGUAUAGCUUGAAUUACGGAAGGGAAACUGGAAUUCCAAGUGUAGGGGUGGAAUCUGUAGAUAUUUGGAAGAACACCGGUGGCGAAGGCGGGUUUCUGGCCGAUAAUUGACGCUGAGAUGCGAAAGUGUGGGGAUCGAACAGGAUUAGAUACCCUGGUAGUCCACACUGUAAACGAUGUACACUAGGUGUUGGGGCAAGAGCUUCAGUGCCAAAGCAAACGCGAUAAGUGUACCGCCUGGGGAGUAUGCCCGCAAGGGUG